GGAAAAAAAAACAAAAACAAAAACAAAAACCCAGAAAAGCAGCCCAGAGACAGGGGGAUGGUGGAAUUUGAUAGUUAGCAUCAGAACCCAAGGAAAUUAGCGAAUGCCUGUGUCGAAACUAGAAAUCCUCCAUUUGUUGCAAUUACUCAAAAUCUUGGCUUGCAAAUUGAGAAUGCAUUUUGGAGCCUGGCAUAAUUAAAUGGGGAGUGGGAGCCAAAAGGGAAAUUGCAAACUCCAGAAAAGGAGUGUUAGGAGACUAAAGACAUAUCUCAUUUACAUAUUUUGCUAUCAUUUCAGAAAAUUUAGCUAAAUUAUAUCAGAUCAGACUGAACCUGACAUUAAGCAACAGUAGCCCAACUGGCUUAAAAAUUUACUCCAGAGAUGUGCUGAGAUCAGAAUUUGGUCCAGUGUUUGAUUAUAUGUAAAUUUCCUAGUAUUACAAAACUGGAAUUCGCUGAAAAACUCGUCAAUGAGCCUCCCUGCCAUUGCAUGGUGCAGCUCAACAAGCACAAUUUGGCUUCAUCCUCUCUUUUCCCUCUGCAUCGCAGCCAUCCCAACAGCCCCAGGAAAGAGCAACCCUACUUCAGGUCUGCGUUGUGCUGACUUUUGAUUUUCUCUUGCUGACUCUUAAACUAGUGCAGGCACUUGGAACGUGCUGUGGUGCAUCUGCAUCCAAUCCUGAUGCUUUGGCUGGGAGAGAGGAGGAGGAGGAGGCUAGGCUCUGCUGUCCACCAGCCAAGUGCUCUCCAGGGCUGACAGAAGGCUUCAGUCUGCUCUGGCUGUUCCUUGAAGCAAAGCAGGGCCACCAGGGGAAGUGGUCUUCACAAUAGAGGGAAUAUACUGUUAGAGCUGAGUGGAGCCAAGCAGCAGCUCACUCUUUACAAAGAGGGCCCAUGGCAUCUCCACCUGAACCCUUCAAAAGUUCACAGCUCAAGUGAAGGCAAAGUCCAUCCAUCCAGUCUGAUAGAAAGCUUUGCUGAGUUCCUUUGGAGGAGUAUGAGAUCCCUUACAUCUAAGCAAGCUGAAGAUCUGCCCAGGUCCAGGAUCAGAAUCUCUGCUACCAGUUUUCAAAAUGGCAAGACUGCAUUCUUAUCUCAUACUCACAUUUUUGUUGCAAAUUUUGCUGACUUCAAAUUAUAUGUAAAAUAUCCCCUUCCCAAGUGGAAAUAAAUACAUAUGUAAAUGAACAAAAGAACUUCCUACAGCCUUCAGAUUUCCAUCUCUCACAACAAAUUUAUUGUUUUUUUUUUUUUUUUAAUAAUAUGAAACUCACCCAUUGGUUUCCAGCAGCAAAAAGGCCUUCACUUCAGCAUCUCCUUUGGCCUAGAAAACUUCUCUAACUACUGGUGAUGUUAGGUUGCAAAUUAUGGAGCCUGAGGGCUUGCUAACAGUUUAUAUGCCAUCCCCUGCACAAGUGCUUACCAAAAAGACAGUUCUUAUUAGGAGGAACUGCACUGUACAAUUCAGCUAAGACUUACUGGGCAUACCCUUGUUACCUGAGUUUAGAAGCAGUUUAAUUUAAUGUAGCUUGAGGUUCAUGAUGUUUCUCACUGGAACUCACUGCAGGCACACAUGAGAAAACAUGCCCUUUACUUGUUUGCAUUUUAAAAAAGUGUAUAUUCAAAAUUUAAAUGAAAAAAAAAAUCUUUUCAUCUGCUCAGUUUGAGUUUCCACAUUUUCUCUCCCUUUAACAUUUCACCCUGAAACUGCAGUAUUGGAUUCUGAAAGCAUUCCUUAGAUUGUGUUAGUGUGACACCUAUUUGACAAUGUAAAACUGUAUUUUGCUGCGAAUAUUUGCCUUGUCUCAAAAUCUACAGUACUUGCUGGGAAGAUUUCCAGUGUCUUGGGGAGUCUUUCCUGCAAACCUUGUGCAAAACCUGAAGUAUUUUGCUGAAUGAGCUGAAUAUAUUUUGAUUGCCAUCAAGUUGUUCUAAAGCUCACUAAUUCUAUAUUGUUCAGGCUGUACUUUAUUUUAUGCAAUACCAACAUAAAUUGUACUUUUUUCCAUUUGAAAUAAAUUAAUUAGGGA
ensembl:lncRNA